UACGUAGGGGGCAAGCGUUGUCCGGAUUUAUUGGGCGUAAAGAGCGUGUAGGCGGUCAGGUAGGUCCGUUGUGAAAACUCGAGGCUCAACCUCGAGACGCCGAUGGAAACCAUCUGACUAGAGUCCGGAAGAGGAGAGUGGAAUCCUGGUGUAGCGGUGAAAUGCGCAGAUAUCAGGAAGAACACCCGUGGCUAAGGCGGCUCUCUAGUACGGUACUGACGCUGAGACGCGAAAGCGUGGGGAGCGAACAGG
rnacentral:rRNA from 1 species